rnacentral:misc_RNA from 1 species
CCGAGUUUACAACUCCCAAACCCAUUGAGAACCUUACCUUUUGUUGCUUCGGCGGGAAUGCCCCGGCGCCUUUGCUGCCCGGACCCAGGCGCCCGCCGGAGGCCCCAAACUCUUGUUUUCUAAACUGGAAUUUUCUGAGUUACCAAACAAAUAAAUCA